rnacentral:tRNA from 1 species
AUUGUGGCAUAGUGGUUUGAGUGUUGGACUACGACUCUGGAGACCAGGGUUCGAAUCCCCGCUCGAACA